rnacentral:rRNA from 1 species
GAGUUUGAUCAUGGCUCAGAUUGAACGCUGGCGGCAGGCCUAACACAUGCAAGUCGAACGGUAACAGGAAACAGCUUGCUGUUUCGCUGACGAGUGGCGGACGGGUGAGUAAUGUCUGGGAAACUGCCUGAUGGAGGGGGAUAACUACUGGAAACGGUAGCUAAUACCGCAUAACGUCGCAAGACCAAAGAGGGGGACCUUCGGGCCUCUUGCCAUCAGAUGUGCCCAGAUGGGAUUAGCUAGUAGGUGGGGUAACGGCUCACCUAGGCGACGAUCCCUAGCUGGUCUGAGAGGAUGACCAGCCACACUGGAACUGAGACACGGUCCAGACUCCUACGGGAGGCAGCAGUGGGGAAUAUUGCACAAUGGGCGCAAGCCUGAUGCAGCCAUGCCGCGUGUAUGAAGAAGGCCUUCGGGUUGUAAAGUACUUUCAGCGGGGAGGAAGGGAGUAAAGUUAAUACCUUUGCUCAUUGACGUUACCCGCAGAAGAAGCACCGGCUAACUCCGUGCCAGCAGCCGCGGUAAUACGGAGGGUGCAAGCGUUAAUCGGAAUUACUGGGCGUAAAGCGCACGCAGGCGGUUUGUUAAGUCAGAUGUGAAAUCCCCGGGCUCAACCUGGGAACUGCAUCUGAUACUGGCAAGCUUGAGUCUCGUAGAGGGGGGUAGAAUUCCAGGUGUAGCGGUGAAAUGCGUAGAGAUCUGGAGGAAUACCGGUGGCGAAGGCGGCCCCCUGGACGAAGACUGACGCUCAGGUGCGAAAGCGUGGGGAGCAAACAGGAUUAGAUACCCUGGUAGUCCACGCCGUAAACGAUGUCGACUUGGAGGUUGUGCCCUUGAGGCGUGGCUUCCGGAGCUAACGCGUUAAGUCGACCGCCUGGGGAGUACGGCCGCAAGGUUAAAACUCAAAUGAAUUGACGGGGGCCCGCACAAGCGGUGGAGCAUGUGGUUUAAUUCGAUGCAACGCGAAGAACCUUACCUGGUCUUGACAUCCACGGAAGUUUUCAGAGAUGAGAAUGUGCCUUCGGGAACCGUGAGACAGGUGCUGCAUGGCUGUCGUCAGCUCGUGUUGUGAAAUGUUGGGUUAAGUCCCGCAACGAGCGCAACCCUUAUCCUUUGUUGCCAGCGGUCCGGCCGGGAACUCAAAGGAGACUGCCAGUGAUAAACUGGAGGAAGGUGGGGAUGACGUCAAGUCAUCAUGGCCCUUACGACCAGGGCUACACACGUGCUACAAUGGCGCAUACAAAGAGAAGCGACCUCGCGAGAGCAAGCGGACCUCAUAAAGUGCGUCGUAGUCCGGAUUGGAGUCUGCAACUCGACUCCAUGAAGUCGGAAUCGCUAGUAAUCGUGGAUCAGAAUGCCACGGUGAAUACGUUCCCGGGCCUUGUACACACCGCCCGUCACACCAUGGGAGUGGGUUGCAAAAGAAGUAGGUAGCUUAACCUUCGGGAGGGCGCUUACCACUUUGUGAUUCAUGACUGGGGUGAAGUCGUAACAAGGUAACCGUAGGGGACCUGCGGUUG